UGUUGGAGCGAGCUUGCUCGCGAUGGCGGCGUGUCUGUCGAAUGCAAUGUCGCCUGUGACUCCGCUAUCGCGAGCAAGCUCGCUCCCACA
rnacentral:misc_RNA from 1 species